rnacentral:rRNA from 1 species
GACGAACGCUGGCGGCGUGCUUAACACAUGCAAGUCGAACGGAAAGGCCCUGCUUUUGUGGGGUGCUCGAGUGGCGAACGGGUGAGUAACACGUGAGUAACCUGCCCUUGACUUUGGGAUAACUUCAGGAAACUGGGGCUAAUACCGGAUAGGAGCUCCUGCUGCAUGGUGGGGGUUGGAAAGUUUGGGCGGUUGGGGCUGGACUCGGGGCUUAUCAGCUUGUUGGUGGGGUAGUGGCUUACCAAGGCUUUGACGGGUAGCCGGCCUGAGAGGGUGGCCGGCCACAUUGGGCCUGAGAUACGGCCCAGACGCCUACGGGAGGCAGCGGUGGGGAGUAUUACACAGUGGGCGGAAGCCUGAUGCGGCGACGCCGCGUUCGGGAUGACGGCCUUCUGGUUGUAAACCGCUUUCGCCUGUGACGAAGCGGGAGUGACGGUAAUGGGUAAAGAAGCACCGGCUAACUACGUG